rnacentral:misc_RNA from 1 species
GGCAUUCCAAAUCACGUGAUAUAAUAUGGCUGCUGGAUGGCGAAACUGUCAUCCAUAGGCGUAUCCAAUGUUUAAACCACUUCAUAUUUAAUUUGCUAUCACAAUUUCACAAAUUUCGCUACACAAUUAACAAAAAAAACAAAACCAAACAGGAUAUUCUUUACAAAUUUGUCAAUAUUCAAUGUAAACAUUAGAUACGCCAUGACCACCCCCCUUAACUGUGUCUAUGGCCAUGUCAGUUUAGCCAUCCACCGACCACCACUGACAGUUCAUUGGAAUCCCUAAUAGAUUACAUAUUUAUAAUAUAUAGAUUAUACAAUAACAUAACAUAACCAAAAUAUUUUUUAAAUACACUGGGACUGCAGACUGCACAUAAAUAGAAAAGUAAUAUGUAAAUGUAAAGAAUAGGUAGAAAAGUAAACAGGUUCCCAAAAAGGCAGUUGCAUCAAUUUGAAAAUUUGAGAUAUAAGUACUAGCAGUUGACAUAAGAAGAAAAAAAUAUUUUUUAGCCUCAAACCAAUGAUAUUGAACUUUACUAAAAAAAGUAUGUACAUAUAUUCAGAUUUACCAAUGAUGUUACCAAUGCAAUCUAAAAUCUCUACGAUUAACCGAAUGCAAACCAUCUUUGACCAACCACCUGUUUCCAACCAAAACAUAACCGAUUCAGACAAUUAUAGUUCCUUCCAAAUAGAUUCAAAUAAUUAUUGUUACCACCAAAAUAGUACUGAAGAGUUAAAGCAACUACCUCGAAGUAUAAACGAUGAACAGAUGAAAUCAACUACCAAAGAAAUAAAAUUUAGUGAUGAAAUUACAAUUGCAAGUAACAAUAAUAAUGAAUAUACUGCCGUGAACAGUACUCUGUAUACUGGAACGUUGACUGAAGUCCAAAUAGAUUCAAAUAAUUCUAGUCGCCACCAAAAUAGUACUGGAGGGUUAAAAGAACUACCUUCAAUUGCAAACGUCGAGCAGCUGAAAUCGAAUGUCACAGAAAUAAAAUUUAGUGAUGAAAUUACAAUUGUAGGUAAAGAUAAUAAUGAAGAUUUUGUAGUGGAAAGCACUCCGCUUACUGAAACGUUGACUGAAGUCCAAAUGGUUUCAAAUAGUUCUAGUUUCCAUCAAAAUAGUACUGGAGAGUUAAAGGAACUACUUUCAAUUGUAAACGCCGAAAAGCUGAAAUCAAAUAUCAAAGAAAUAAAAUUUAUUGAUGAAAUUACAAUCGCAGGUAACAUUAAUAAGGAAGAUUCUUUAGCGGAAAGCACACUGCUUACUGAAACGUUGACUGAAGUCCAAAUAGAUUCAAAUAGUUCUAGUUGCCACCAAAAUAGUACUGGAGGGUUAAAAGAACCACCUUCAAUUGCAAACGUCGAACAGCUGAAAUCAAAUAUCAAAGGAAUAAAAUUUAGUGAUAAAAUUACAAUUGUAGGUAAAGAUAAUAAUGAAGAUUUUGCAGUGGAAAGUACUCUGCCUACUGAAACGUUGACUGAAGUACAAAUGGUUUCAAAUAGUUCUAGUUUCCAUCAAAAUAGUACUGGAGAGUUAAAGGAAUUACAUUCAAUUAAAAACGUCGUACACCUGAAAUCACAUAUCAAAGAAAUAAAAUUUAGUGAUGAAAUUACAAUUGCAGGUAACAUUAAUAAUGAAGAUUCUGUCGCGGAAAGCACUCUGCGUACUGAAACGUUGACUGAAGUCCAAAUAGGUUCAAAUAGUUCUAGUUGCCACCAAAAUAGUACUGGUGAGUUAAAGGAACUACUUUCAAUUGUAAACGUCGAACAGCUGAAAUCAAAUAUCAAAGAAAUAAAAUUUAUUGAUGAAAUUACAAUUGCAGGUAACAUUAAUAAUGAAGAUUCUGUAGCGGAAAGCACUCUGCUCACUGAAACGUUGACUGAAGUCCAAAUAGGUUCAAAUAGUUCUAGUUGCCACCAAAAUAGUACUGAAGGGUUAAAGGAACUACCUUCAAUUGCAAACGUCGAACAGCGAGCGUCGAACAAAAUAACAAUUAAACAUAACAUUAAUAAUGCAAAUUCUGCAGUGAAUGUGCCAGAAACAGAAACGGUAAUUGAAGUCCCAAUGGAUUUAAAGGGUUCUAUUUGUCACCAAAACAAUACUGAAGGAUUAAAGGAAAUAUCUCCAAGUACAAACGUCAUACAGGUGAAACCAAAUAUCAAAGUAAUAUUAGGUGAUGAAAUAACAAUUGCAGAUAACGUUAAUAAUGAAGGUUCUACAAUGAAGAGUUCAUUGCCUACCGAAAUUUUAAUUGAAGAACUCCACAACAGAUCAGACGGCCUUAUUUCUGCAUUAGGUUUAGAGUUAGAUAAAGAACAACCGCAAGAAAUAGUUGCGAAUAUAGAAAGGGACAGAAGUUCUUAUUUUCUGGUUAAUAUACUAGCAGGUACACAAUUCAAAGGAUUUGAUAGGUCAGUGGCUACUAGUGAUGAUAACAAUAGCAAAAUACAAUAUAAACGUAAACAGACAAAAAGCAUUUUAAAGCGAAAGAAUAGUGUGGAAGAAAACAAAGAACCACAAGCUAAAAAAAGAAAAAAAGGCAUUACUUUUGACAGUGUUACCAUCUUCCAAUUUCCCAGAGCGCAAGGUUUUACUUGCAUUCCCACACAGGGUGGUUGCACCUUAGGCAUGGAAGCUCACCAUUCUGAUAAAAAGACGUUCUCCGUAGCGGAACAUGCCUUAGAAAAAAGAAACCGUAGAGAGGUCGUGCAAAAACAUCGAUCUCAUAAACGUAAUGGUACACGUGGAAAGAAAAUAUGUAACGAAAAAACGAACGUUAAGGAUGCGCCAUACGAAGGAUCAGACAAAGACAAUUCAGAUGUAUUACAACGACUCCAUUUAUCUCAGCGAAGAGCUUUGCUACGAGCUGCUGGCGUGACAAGGAUAGAUAUGACAGAAAGUGAUGAGUGUAGGAAUAUUCGAACAUCUAGAAUGUUAUGUGGAUGUGGAUGUAAAGAAAAUUGUGAUCCUGAUACUUGUUCCUGUAGUCAGUCGGGAAUCGAAUGUCAAGUAGAUGCAGAUCAUUUUCCAUGUAAAUGUUCCAGAGAGAACUGUAGGAACUUAAAAGGAAGAAUCGAGUUUAGUAAAGAUAGAGUUAGAAUUCAUUAUACACGUACACUUAUGAGUUAUCGUGGUUCGGACAUAUGGCGAGAAUGAGUGAAGGUAGAACUGUAAAGAGGGUAUGGAAAGCGGCAUCCGACAACAAACGAAGAAGAGGCAGGCCAGCAAGAACGUGGAACGCAAAUAUUGGAAAGGCUUGCGUAAAAAGAAAUAUUGGGUGGAGAGAAGCAGAAAGACUAGCUACUAACCGAAAGGCAUGGAGACGUCUGAUUUCUCCACUUACCUCGACACCGUAAGGUACAAGAGGACGGCUUAAGUAAGUAAGACAAAUCUCAAUAAACAAGAAGACUGGAUGGCAAGAUUGGAUGGACAAGACCUAACACCCGUACUACAGCAGAACCAAAGUUUCGCGGGUUGUGUCAUCGAUAACUAUUUUAACCCUUAGUCUCCCGAC